UACAGAGGGUGCAAGCGUUAAUCGGAAUUACUGGGCGUAAAGCGUGCGCAGGCGGUUCGUUAAGUUCGUUGUGAAAGCCCCGGGCUCAACCUGGGAACUGCAAUGGAAACUGGCGGGCUUGAGUGUGGCAGAGGGGGGUGGAAUUCCGCGUGUAGCAGUGAAAUGCGUAGAGAUGUGGAGGAACACCAAUGGCGAAGGCAGCCCCCUGGGUCGAUACUGACGCUCAUGCACGAAAGCGUGGGUAGCAAACAGG
rnacentral:rRNA from 1 species